rnacentral:lncRNA from 1 species
GGACUGAUUUCCAUCACGUAUCAGAAGGAAUGAGAAAUAUUUGAGUAAAGAGGAAAGAGGAGGAAAAUGUCUCUGGUCAUGAACUUCAACUGAACUUUCUCCAAGAACUUUCCUGUGGCAAAAGUUCAGAGGCACUUUCAAGCAGUGAUUGGAAGCCACUGGGGAAGAGCAAAGAGACACUGAGACCUGCGCUCUUUGUCAUGCCAGAUACACUCUCAGGAGUAUUGUGACAAAUUCAGUGUGGAGGCAGCUCUGGUCCUUUCCAACCUGCACAAAAGACCUCGAGGAGAAUUCAGCCGUGCCAAGGGAAGGCAGCUCAGAACUCUCAGACCUGGGAGAGCAUAACAGAAGGGGUCUGCUGUUGCCCCUCGCUGGAAGCUGCGCGACGGAGCGUGGACAUGCGGGGCCGGGGACAGCGGGGACACGGCGCGGGGACAUCCCCCGCCGGGCGAACACCGCCACCGACAGCUGCGGGAAUACACGGGGAAGCCCCGAGCCCCGGGCAGCUCCGCGUGCUGCCAGUACCGCUCCGCUGCCGAGUAGAGGCUGCGGGCACAGCGCGGGGCAGCUCCCAGCUGACCCCAUCCCGUUGCAGGCAGUAGCGAGAAGCGGCACGCACUUCUCAUCAGUGCGGUGGUACGAAGGAACUGAUGCUGCCCGGCACCGCCGCCCGACACCCGACCCGUCUCAGGGUCGUCGACGCCGAGACUCUUCCGAAGCCGAGACUUUACGAGACGCCGGUACCGCUUCCCUCCCUCGACUACUCCCAGUUACGACGCUGUUGCGCUGCGCAUCCUCCGCUUUCCCCGUGGCUCCGGUGGGAGCGGUGGUCGGGUCGCUUCCCGGGAGCUCCUCUCCAAUUGCCCCGGUGUCACGGAGGGACCGAACGUGGCACCUCGAGAGUCGUAGGCAGAAGCGGGCGUUUUCUGCCGUCAGCAGGGCACGUUUCAGAACAGCGGGGCCAGGAGAAGGGAACUCUGGAGCGGCCACCAGCACUGGGACCAGGCGGUUGAGCUGCAUGGCCUCGUGCUGCAGAACACUGCGAGACUUUUGAGAAGUUCCCUGUGGUUUUCUUUUAGCAAAACCGAUGCAGAAAUUUAUCAUUUCGCUCAGUACUCGCUGGUCAUCUGAGUCUAUGCAACUGAAUAGCAAAUGAAGGGGUUGUUAUUUCAAAGAAGGUGGUUUGAGGUCACUAAGUGGGACCGUGAUGGAUUGGGUUUUUUUGGUUUUUUGUGGUUUUUUUUUCGUUGUUGGUUUUGUGUGUGUGUGUAUGUGUGUUUUGUUCUGUUUUCUGUUUUUGAUUCAUGUUUUUCACUCUUUGCCCUCCAUCACUUUGUGCUGCAAGUAGCCAUAUGGUCAGGCCACACAUGGCAAUGUGCAGCCUCUUUGGAGCAAAGCUUUGCUCUGACCAAUACAUCCACCCUGAACCACCCAGGCAAUCUGAUGUCCUGGGAGAUGGGAGAGUUCCAUGUUCCCCAGACUCAGAGUGUGAUGCAGUAGGUGCCUGGAUGGUCAGCUGAAAACACAGACACCAUUCCCAGGGCUGUACCAGAAAUAUGGAGAUAUGGCACUCAUUAGUGGGCAUCCUACUGAUGGCUCAGCGAUCGGACUUGAUCUUCUUAGAGGUCUCUUCCAAUCUUAGUGCUUACAUAUGAUUCUGUCACUUUAUACUGUCGCUGCAACACUUUCCUGCAGCUUUUGCACUGGUGCAGGUAAGGGUGUGGGCAGAGGUUGUGGGUCCUCAUGGCUCAGGACUCUUUGGUUUCCAGCAGCCCCAGUUCCAGGGUGCCCUCAGAUGUGGGCUUGCACACACAUGGCUUCAAGGUCUUCAGCCAGCAUGCUGGUGAGGGACCUGUGUUCUCUUUGGUAUUGCAUUUAUUACCACUUCUUUCAAAUACUGACAGCAGAGCACUUUUGUGAAACUGCCCAGAUUUUGGUGAUGCUCAGAGAGAGAAGCCAACAGCUCCUGGACAAACACGUGAGCUGAAUGAAGUUUAAUCUCUGUAAGAACCUGCUGAAUGUAAUAUGAUUUUAUGGUUCACUUCCCUUUAUUU